rnacentral:pre_miRNA from 1 species
CCGCGGUGCAUUGCUGUUGCAUUGCAUGUGUGAAGCGGGUGCAAUGCCUCAGCAGUGCAGCCCAG